GGGCCCGCACAAGCAGUGGAUUAUGUGGUUUAAUUCGAAGCAACGCGAAGAACCUUACCAGGGCUUGACAUCCUCUGAACUCUCUAGAGAUAGAGCUUCCCUUCGGGGCAGAGAGACAGGUGGUGCAUGGUUGUCGUCAGCUCGUGUCGUGAGAUGUUGGGUUAAGUCCCGCAACGAGCGCAACCCCUAUGGUCAGUUGCCAUCAUUUAGUUGGGAACUCUGGCCAGACUGCCGUGGACAACACGGAGGAAGGUGGGGACGACGUCAAAUCAUCAUGCCCCUUAUGUCCUGGGCUACACACGUAAUACAAUGGCAACGACAGAGGGCAGCGACUCCGCGAGGGGAAGCGAAUCCCAAAACGUUGUCUCAGUUCGGAUUGCAGGCUGCAACUCGCCUGCAUGAAGUCGGAAUUGCUAGUAAUGGCAGGUCAGCACACUGCCGUGAAUACGUUCCCGGGCCUU
rnacentral:rRNA from 1 species